rnacentral:rRNA from 1 species
UACGGAGGGUGCGAGCGUUGUCCGGAAUCACUGGGCGUAAAGGGCGCGUAGGCGGCAUGCCAAGCGUGUGGUGAAAGCCCGGGGCUCAACCCCGGGUCGGCCGUGCGGACUGGCGUGCUCGAGCACUGUAGGGGCGGGUGGAAUUCCGGGUGUAGCGGUGGAAUGCGUAGAGAUCCGGAAGAACACCGGUGGCGAAGGCGGCCCGCUGGGCAGGAAGACACCGCAAGGUGUCGGCUGACGCUGAGGCGCGACAGCGUGGGGAGCAACAGG